CUUACACUACGAUAAUCUCCAUUUUUGGUUUAUAACAUAAAAUUCUAAAAAUCCUAUAACAAUCGAUGGGUUUUUAUCCAUGGGAACCAGGUGGAGGAAGAAUUCUUUUUUUCAGCAGUGUGUCCUCUCAGAGAAAUAUGGUGGCAGGAUUGAUCAAACCCAAGGAUGUUGUCUAUGAAUGUAGACCUGGUUGCAUUAACAGAACAUCACAGCGGGGAUUGAGAUACCGCCUUGAGGUCUUCCGGAUUUUAAUUCUUUCAGGAGUGCGACGACUGGUGCGGGGAAACAAUCAACAAGGUUAUGCAAAGCACCUUGGAUAUUUGCCUCCACCACUUUUUCCAUGUCUUUGUUCCUAUUGAGUUAGGGGUAAAAGAGCUCGUAACAUAUAUUUACAGGAGUUAACUUUCUCUUCUGCAUCCACCUCCAUUCCCCGUCUCUUUAGAUUCUAGACAUCAAUGACAGACAAGGAGAUGUUUCCAUUAAGUCAAGUGCUUGUUACAAAAGUGUAAAUUUUAUAAAUAAAAUAUGCCUGCGUUUAAUCAAA